rnacentral:rRNA from 1 species
AUUGAACGCUGGCGGCAUGCCUUACACAUGCAAGUCGAACGGCAGCGGGGGAGAAGCUUGCUUUUCCUGCCGGCGAGUGGCGAACGGGUGAGUAAUACAUCGGAACGUGCCCUGUAGUGGGGGAUAACUAGUCGAAAGAUUAGCUAAUACCGCAUACGACCUGAGGGUGAAAGUGGGGGACCGCAAGGCCUCAUGCUAUAGGAUCGGCCGGUGUCUGUUUAGCUAGUUGGUGGGGUAAAGGCCUACCAAGGCGACGAUCAGUAGCUGGUCUGAGAGGACGAUCAGCCACACUGGGACUGAGACACGGCCCAGACUCCUACGGGAGGCAGCAGUGGGGAAUUUUGGACAAUGGGCGAAAGCCUGAUCCAGCAAUGCCGCGUGUGUGAAGAAGGCCUUCGGGUUGUAAAGCACUUUUGUCCGGAAAGAAAUGGCUCUGGUUAAUACCUGGGGUCGAUGACGGUACCGGAAGAAUAAGGACCGGCUAACUACGUGCCAGCCGCCGCCGUAACAC